UCACUAGUAUUAUGCACUUUGAACAGUUUGGAGGUAUCCUCAAAGGAAGAAAGAAAUGGUCGCUUUACUUAUGUGGACAACAUUCAUAAUGUCACACAACUUCAAUAAAAUUUAUUCUCACAACCAUAUAAUGAAAAACCAAGAUAAUAAGAACGUAAAAUAAAACAUUAUGUUUUUUUUUUUGGUCAAUCAAAACAUUAUGUUAUUUCUAAACCAAAGAAAUAUUUAGCUCAUAGUGAUCUUACAUGAAAACAUGGAAAGAUAAGAAAAUGAUAACUUCAAUCCAUAUAUAUUACAAAACAUUGAAGAUAACAUACAAAAAUCUUAAUCAACCAGAGUUAAAAAAAAAUAUAUACAAAGUUGCAGAGUUGUCACAGGCUGAUGCAACAGAUCUAAUGCUUGCUCUUUAAACAUGGAGCUUCAAUGGUCUUGAAUGUAAUGAUUUGAAAUGGAAAAUGAGAAAGUGAUGAAAGGUGGCAGCUAGGGUUCUCAAAACCAAGUUAUAAUUUAGCUGAAGACUCCCUUUGUUAGUGGAUAAAAGUGUCCUUUAUAUAGUACUUUUGGUAACUUUCUCUAUCCUUAUCCGUUUUAUGCCACUCUUGUCCUUUUAUCUUUUCAUUCAUUUCAGUCUUUCUUAAUUUCCCAUAUUUGGGCAAAUGUAAUAUUCUCAUUUUGGUCAUUCUCACUGAUGAUGUGUCUCCUUGAUGCUUUUUGAGAGGAUAUAAUUUCAAUUUGG
rnacentral:lncRNA from 1 species